rnacentral:lncRNA from 1 species
AAAUUUCAUUUAUUUUAGUAAAAGAUUUAAAUCAAUCAGUGAUUUUAAGAAUUUUUUUUAAAAUUUAAUUAAAUUAUUUUAUAUAGAUAAAGAAGGGAUUAUUGUAAAAUUCUUAGAACAAGAUUUGUAUUUCUGAUUCAUUUAAAGUAUUUUCAAAUCCUCACCCACUACACAUCAAAGUUUUACAUGAAAGGAUUUUACAAAAAACUCUUCCUACUCUACCUUAAAUCCUCAACAUCGAACAAACUGUCCUUUCAUGAGAAGAAGAGGGAUAGAAAAACAAAUUUCAUAUGUGAGUUUUUCAAGCCCAUCCAUAAAAUUCAAACCAUUUUAGACAAAACAAUCAUCAAGCAAUAUCUUUUUGAGAAGCAACAACCAUCAUUCAAGCAAAAGAAGUAGUGAUGUGAUUUUCCAUCAAUCAAUUAAAAAAAAAAUUCAUUCAGAUAUCAACAAGUAGCAGUAAACAACUACUGUUAAGAGACAAUGAUUUGAUUUUUCAUCAAUCAUUCAAAAGCAAAAAAUUAAAUUCUAUCAAAAUUUUUUUAGCUUUGGAAGAAAGACUCUGAAAUCACCUAUAAAUAUAGGUAUGAAAUUUUUAUCAUCCUUCAUUUUUUCUCUAUUUUUCUCAAGCAAAUGCCGUCCCGGAAGAAUCAUCGGUAUCAUCGUUACCAAUGGCUUCCUCCUCCAUGAUGCCACCAUCAUCAUUUCAACGCCAUCGUCGAAGCCACCAUCAUCAUUCUUCAGCAUCAAUCCAGAUUAAGUUCAAAAUGACAAGUCUAUAGAAAAUUUAUUAUAUGACAGUUCAUAUUUUAUCUUCAUCAAACAAUAUUUUGACAGAGCAACUUCCAGAGCAUCCUCCAAAAGUAGAACAUCCUCGCCAAAGAAAUCCACUUGAAAACACUGCUAUUCGCUCACACUCCACCAUCUGUUUAUCAACCAAAUUCAUGUGGAUAUCAACAUUCAGUAACUUCAUCACCAACUUCUUCAGUUUCUCUUGAAUUUCAAGCCAUCUAUAGACGCAAAUCAGUAGGAUGCAGAAGAUCGACAUCACCAUAGCAACCAAAUCAAGUCCACAAUCUAGUAUCUAGUACAAGUUCAUCAUACAACGCAAGCUCAAGUCUAAACACCCCAGCACCAAAAGACAGCAUAUCUGGACCGACACCAAUGAUUUACCACCAUCAAGCAACAUCCGCAAAUAAUUAUUCAAAAAAAAAAAAGAAAUCAAGUAUGAAAAUAAACUUAGUUACUUUUCUUAAAAGUCACUUCAUUCUCAAGUAAGUUAUUUCAUUAGCAAGUUACUUCACCAAUAAGCCACUUCAUCAGUAAGUUACUUCAUUAACAAGUUAUUUCACCAACAAGUCACUUCACCAGUAAGUUACUUCAUCAGCAAGCCCCUUCACUGAUAAAGUUAUUUCACCAGCAAGUUACUUUAUUCUCAAGACACUUUACCAAUAAGUUACUUCACCGACAAGAUACUUGAUCCUCAAGCAAAAAGUCUGCCAAAUCUUCUAUAAAAAAAUCUCAAGUACCAGCAUUGAGGAAUAAGUCCUGACAGCCUGAGAGUUUCUAUUAGGAAGUUCUGGCAUUGAGUAGUCCGAAUAUCCUUUAUUCGGCUGCAGUUACAAACCAAUGAGGGAGUGUUCUACCAAUAUCCUCUUCUGUCUUGUAUUUUUGUAUUCAAAAUAGAUUAGGAUUCAAAGCUUUAUUUCAAGUUUGAAGUUUGUAUCCAAUAGGCCAUAGUCGGAGAGAAGCAAGCUUCUUGAAGCUAUCUUCAUUCUGUAUAUCCAUUUUAUUUUUGCUUAUUUCAUAUCGUGUAAGCUUUCAUCAUGUACACUCUCAUGAUUC